UACGGAGGAUGCGAGCGUUAUCCGGAUUUAUUGGGUUUAAAGGGUGCGUAGGCGGGAUGCCAAGUCAGCGGUAAAAAUGCGGUGCUCAACGCCGUCGAGCCGUUGAAACUGGCGUUCUUGAGUGGGCGAGAAGUGUGCGGAAUGCGUGGUGUAGCGGUGAAAUGCAUAGAUAUCACGCAGAACUCCGAUUGCGAAGGCAGCAUACCGGCGCCCUACUGACGCUGAGGCACGAAAGCGUGGGUAUCGAACAGG
rnacentral:rRNA from 1 species